CCUACGGGAGGCUGCAGUGGGGAAUAUUGCACAAUGGGGGAAACCCUGAUGCAGCAACGCCGCGUGAAGGAAGACGGUUUUCAGAUUGUAAACUUCUGUUCUUCGUGAAGAAUAAUCACAGUAGCUAAUGAGCAAGCCACGGCUAACUACGUGCCAGCCGCCGCGGUAAUACGUAGGUGGCAAGCGUUGUCCGGGAUUACUGGGUGUAAAGGGAGCGCAGGCGGGAAGCCAAGUCAGCUGUGAAAUCUCGGGGCUUAACUUCUAGACUGCAGUUGAAACUGGUUUUCUUGAGUGGAGUAGAGGUUGGCGGAAUUCCGAGUGUAGCGGUGAAAUGCGUAGAUAUUCGGAGGAACACGGGUGGCGAAGGCGGACAACUGGGCUUUAACUGACGCUGAGGAUCGAAAGUGUGGGGAGCAAACAGGAUUAGAUACCCGGUAGUC
rnacentral:rRNA from 1 species